AUCGGUACGUUGACCUCUGGUGCCCUCUCGGGACAUGAGGCUCUGAAUUGCCCCUGUAGGAGAACAAAAGGUCCAUGUUGAAAAUCUGUUUUCUAUUUCAUCAAAAGUCUCCCUCAUUUCUGUCCACAGAACGUGGCCCGAGAGAAGGGUUAGAAGUCUUCAUAUUUGUUAGGUCUAGUCCCCCAGCCCUAUUCAAAAACAUGUAAUGUAAGGCUAAAUGAGUGAAUGGUGAACUGUUCAGGUUGUACCCCAUCGUUAUCCAAAGACUGCUGUAAUUGGCUAAAGCUUCCAGCGACUCUGUAAAGGACUCAAGAGGUAGAAGAUGAAGAUAUCCACCUGCUCAACCUUUGCUGUCCCUCUGAUCUUCAUUUCCCAUUCACCCUACUCCAUGGUGGAACUCCUGUCAGUUCUACAGAUUGUACUAGAAUCACAUUUAGGGCCAAAUCACUAACAUUAUGUUAUAAUAAUUUAGAAUUGCAGACAGAACUGACUAGCACUUACACUUAUUCUUCCAUGUGUGUGAGAGCUGCUCUUUCAAAAAUGUAAUGUGAUUUAUCUGUAUUGAGACUAACUGCUAACAGGACACGUUUACACAUGACGUUCAACAUCAUGUUUUUACGUAAUCUUGUCUUGUUUUCUUUUCUUCUUCUCCAGAACAGAGAGCCUUCAUUGUGUUUCAAAACUGCGUCGUCAUCGAUCUACAAACAUAUCAGAAAAGUAUCCCCCGUAAAUAUGAACCACUGUCUUGCUUUGAGAAACCCUGCAAUGAUAGAAUCAUUGCAAUCAUUUCAAGUUCAUCGAAAUAUAUACUUGUGAAAGCAUUUUUAUCUAGAGGUAAAUAUGUUGUUUUUUGUAGGAAAGAAAAAAAACUGUACUCUCUGUCUCUCUCACUCUCUUUUUGUUUAGCACUCAUGCCCUUUGUAAACUUUGUGCUGUACAUUUGCACUAUCAAUGACACUUCAACCAAGGUGGCUGUAUUUGGACUGGAUGUCCUUUCAUGAUGACAAAUGUAGGAAUAUUUAGUGAGUUGCUAAAAUAAAUUGUAUUUUAUCUACACUGGGGCUCUUAUUUUUUCACUUUGAUUUUGUUUAUUUAUGAACCUGCUGAUACUGAUACUUCUAACUUUUUUUGGUAACGUUACAUUGUGCAUAAUAAAAAACAAAAGUGUGAUAAACCAUUAAAAUCAUCCAACAUGGUGGCCAUCUUAGAAAAGCUCUACUUUUAUUGCAAAUUUUAAAAAGAACUAACCUUUCUUAAAUGACCACCAGGUGAGUGUACACUAACAUUCUGAAUUUCUUUUUCUGAAUUAAAAGUUAAUAUGAAUAAAAACGCUUACCUCACUCUGUCUUACAUAGUAUAAUAAUUACCUAAAUAAAUUAAAUACAAUUAAAACAAAGUUUAACAACAGUUGAUUGACAGACAACAAGAAGAAAAGAAGAAGAAGAGUUGGGUGUGGCCCCGUGCCUUCCGGAAGAGCAGUGACGUCUGCUUAGCAUAAUUUAGCCACAGCGUGUCAGGUGAAUCAAGUUAAACCCUAAAACGCUUUUUUAAAAUAAAGGUAAUACUUGGCGCGGACAAAUUAGAGCUGACAGUGGAUUACAAAAGCUAUAAACUGAAGGAAGAAUUCCAGAGACAAAAAAUGGCAGCUGGAAAUAACACUUCAUACAACCUCAGUGGAAGAGAAACGUUGGACUUACGUUGAAAAUGUUACAAAGCUGACUGUGAUAAUUAGAGCGCUGUGACCUUCUCAUUAGAGCCAGGAGUCUGCUCAUCCCUUUAUCCUUCAGAAAUGACGAUGGUUACAGAGCCAACAUCAUGAUAGUCCACAUCUCCUCAGACUAACCUCCAUCAGGAGGCCACAGCCGUCCAUGUCUCGCUGUUCCACAAUAGUCUUCAGACUUCCGUUUGAGCUCCAUCUCUGUCGUGGCUAAGUGUCAUGUGAAGAGACAGGUAAAGGUGUGAACUACAGUCACUGCACGUGAACGGAGGAAAGUGCAUCCAAAGCCUCCAGGAAGGUGCUGGAGCUGCUGCAACUCAUUAUCCAACAGCUAUAUAACAUAAGUUAACAUUUUCUUUGUGUUCAGGGACACCACAGCAAUUAGCUAACGAGUGGGUCAUCCAUUAACCAGGCCUGUGGCCCUGUGAGAGAUAUAAGCCUCCGGGGCAACACUCAACAAUUCUCUGUAAUAGAAUAGAAUAGAGGGAGAGAGAGGGAGAAAAAGAAAGACGAAGAAACAGAGAGAGACGAAGUCCAUUAGUAAACAUUUAGGUAAUCAGUGUGAAGGCAGGUCUCUGUGGAUACUUUUACUGCUGAUUAUCAACACCCUGCACUUAUUGUUUUUCCCUUUUUCCUCCUUCUUCCUUGUGAUUUCCACUUGUUCUGCCGUCUUUUGUUGGCUCUCAUAGAAAUUACUGGAGAUCUCAUAUAUAGCAUUGUAUAAUCCCUGACUAUGCUAAUAGUUUAAUAUCGAGUGCUAGCUAGUUUGUAAUCUCAAAAAUACUCAACCAUACAACUUUUCCAGCUGUAUGUUUCGGUUCUGGCUUCCUGGCUUUGGUUUGUUUUUCGCCUUAAACUGAAGAUGUUCACAAAGAAUAGGCUGCACUGUUGGACCUUGAUCUCCACCGGGGUGAUCCAGCAUGGACGGCCCUUUGAAAUUGUUUACUCCUGAAUAAAUACUUUAUGCAGCAUGCCUUUUUUUUCUGAUGAAAUAAUUCAUUGGACGCACAAACAUUUGUAAUAGCUAACCAGCUCCUCACAACAGUGUUAGGCUAAGACUCAAGGCUGAUCAAUAGAGGCCUUAGGGGUUUUAUUUUCUGUUCCUUGAUCAAGGCUGUCAGAUUAGUAUAGGUACAGUGCAAAUAGGGCUGCUGCUUGGGCAGAGGCAACACAGGUUGGAACAUCGCAGCCUCAUUAAUAUGAUUAAGAAAACAGCCUUCGGGCAGUGAGGAUGCAGAGCAGCCCACAUCGAGACUCAUCGGAUAGCAACAACGGUACAGCGGCACAAUGGCACAGUGUCGGCUCACUCUUCAUGGCCGCGUGUCAGAAAAUCAACAAACUCUGAACGCAAUGUAUAACCAGCCCACACAGUAGCGACAAUGACCCCGAGUUAGAUUUUACAUCAACCCAUAAUUGGCUGAUGUUGCUGAAUUUGAGAAACUCAGGCAGUUUUGCAAUUGCUUAAUAAUCUUGUAUAUGAGUUUAAUGAUUUUGGAUGUUUUCUUUAGUUGUUAUCUAUAUUUACUUAAAGCUUCUUGGCAGUUUUGUCUUUGCCUCACUUAGCAGUAUGUCUGUGUCACAAUAUGACACAAUGCAUCACAGUGUCAUCAGUGGAUUAGAUAAAAACAUUAUACCAAAUUAGAGUUUAUAUAUGCAUUCUCAGGUAACUGUGUUAAUUAGGGUGGAAUAUAAGAGAAAAUAUAACCAGGAUGAAUUAUGCUUCUUUUCUUCUGUUUCAUUUCAAACCGUUUUAGUUCAGAAAUUCCUCAGACGGCAUUUGAGAUUUUUCUUCCUCUGGGCGACUGUCAUCCUGUGAAAAAUUAUCACUGCUCUGUGUGUCAUAAGCCAGAAAAGAUAGUGACACUUCUACUGAUCUAUUCAUCUUUUAGUGCUGAUGACAUGUCUCCGGCUUGGCUUCGAAAACAGGUUGUCACCUCCUGGAUGCAGCAGACAACACCAGUGUUAUUAGUAUGUGUUCCAUAUUCAGCAGAAGAGGUGAAAGUGAAAACAGGCUCCACUUGUUAAAGUCAACUUCAGACGACUGGAUCGCCACCCGCUCUCCAUCCAUUCGGCAUUGGAGGUCGUCAGACGACGUGAAGGCUAAGCGUCUCUAACAGAAGCUGGACCCACUGCUGCCACCCACAGAGACAUCACACUGCAUCGGCUAAAUUAGUAUUAUGAUUUUAAUGGAUAAAUGCCCGUUCCACCUAAUUAAUCCAACACAUCACAGGGGGACGUGACACCAUGAGCCCCAUAGAUCAAGGAGCACAGAUCAAAGGCUCAGCCACUGUUAGAAUUCUACACAGGCAAGAGGAAGGUUUCUUGUUUAUUUUCGAUGUACAGAUGGCCUCUGAACUAAUGACUAAAGAAUAUGGCAAUGUGGCGAAAAAUUUGUUUAUUGCUUGUUGACUAAAUGAUGCUGCAACUUUGCUUUGCCAAUAAGCAUGUCUAAUUAGGCAGUGGGCUUCCAAACGUCCACAUCCACGACUUUGAAGCUUGUUGAAAUGAAUGCCUUGUCUGGGGAAAAACAUCCUUCUGCCAUUAGCACCGUGUGAGAUUUAAGUGUGUGUUUUUGAGUUAAAACUUGAAGUUAUCGACACGAUAACGAUAAGUGAAGUAAAACCACCCUGGUUUUUUGAAACAUUUUUUUAAAGGCAUUGUGUUAAAACCUGUUUCAUCCAGCCUGUGCAUCAGAACGCCGACGGUCAGUUUAGUAGACAAUUAAAAGUUGCUUGUUGAUUCACAUAUUUAAAAAGUUUUGCCACAGAGGCGGAAUAUUAUUUUGAAAGCAGCGGAUGAAUCUACAUUUUUAAUCGUAUGACAUUUUCAUUUUAGUUUUUUUUUAAGUGUGUCCUGUCUGGUACAUCUCAUACACUGACGAGUAAAUAAAAGAAGUCCAAACACAUGUUAUAAAUGCUCAAACCCAGAAUGGUUCUCGGACAUCUUAUUAUGUUUUAUAACAGUCACACACAUGCACACGCACAUGCACUCUCUCUCCCUCCCCCUCUCCCCCUCUCUCUCCCUCUUUUGCUCCCUCUCUGGCCCGUCCGCAGCCUGACAUAAGAAAAGCAGCUCACUGGGCCCUGUCUUUAUUUAACACACUGGCUGUGCUUUGAAAAAAUGUCAGUGUUCUGCCAAGUUUACCACAUAUUCACUGUUUACUGAUGGCUGUUACACAUGUGGUUUUUGCAUAUGCUCUCCUCUCCCACUUAAAUCAUCUGUGGUCCCUGGGCUUUCUUUUGACAUGUGCAGCGUUGGUGCUGCCACUGCAGCUUAAAUUUUUCAAGCAAAGAAAAAGGCUCUUGUAUGAAAUAAUAAUGGCCAUUUAUGUUUUUUUCUGCUUCUGAAUGUCAUCACUACUUGUUUUUCUCUCUGUCACCAAAACCUUCUUUGCACUUUUCCAUUAUAAAAACCUUCAGAUAUUUAUGAUCAUCUGUUUUUGUUUUAUUUUACAGCAGAGCAUAGACAAACCUUAGGUGUUACACUAUGACACUGCUUUAUAAUGACUGACUUAGUGAGGUCUACAACUGCAGACUAAAACCCAGCCCAUCACUGGAUCAGACCAUGAUCCUGGUUAACUGGACUCAUACUUUGACACAGAACUCCUGUGUGGUCUUUAAUAUUUUAUAUAAUGGUAUAAAUCAUUCAUAAAAUAUUAUGUGGCAAAAUGAGUUAAAAUCGUCAGCAUUUUGUUAUUUACGAUCUUUAUAUGAAAUUGUCAUUGAGAAUUUUAUCCCGAGAUUUAUUUCUCAGGUUUGAUCAUAGAUUGCCACCUAGGACACUCGGCAUAAUUUAUUGAACGUUACAUUGUGUAAACUCCCCCUGGUGUCAGACAACAUCAGCGCAUGUGAUGAACACAUGUCUGGUGGCGUUGAACCCUUUCCAAAGAAGCAAUGUUUGUUUUGUCGCUGCUCCUUUGUGUCGGCACUCCCACAGUCUCGGCAGAGCGUGGCUGUCACAAAGCAUUAGGAAGUAUAAGAGUCAGGAUGUUCCAUUUCAUCUCCUUGACUUCCCCAGUUAGCAGAGGAACCGAGUGGCAGCAGCAGCAGCAGCAGCAGCAGUUGUCUUGACCCCAGCAUCCUGGAGAACAAAGCUCUCUGACGUGAUGUUUUGCCUGAGGGGUCUGCACUUACUCUCUCACAGGCACAUCAUCCCUGAGCAUGUAAAACAAUGAGACACCAGUCAGCUGACAGAGACACUAAGCUGUAGACACUUUGAGUGACAACAGUGCAGUCGCCCCUGAUGUGGGACUCAGUACUAACAGCUACACAGAAGGAGCCCAGAGUCUGGGCUUUUCAGCUCAAGCUGUUGAAGUCUCUGACUACUAUGAGCUGUAAUCAUUUCCUCUAAACAACGACCGUAUGUGGACGGAAUAGCUGUGUGACUUCGAUGCCUUCUCCUUCAUUGAGGAGGCAGUAAGUGAAACGUGCUGGUCACUUUGAUUACCCAGAGUGCUGUUGUAGCCCGGGGUUAAACAGGAGCAGAUGCCCACUUGCAGGGAUGGGUUGGUGACACUCCUCGGCUCUAUUACCUUCUCAAGCAUCGCAGUGUAGUUUUCCCCCUGUGUAAUAAUGAUCCAUGGCAGGACGACAAAUUUAACCCGCUGACCCCAGAGGCAAUUGAAAUUAUAAUCAGGGGAGUUAUUUAAAUUGACCUGAUUCGAUGCUCAGCUGGUAGAAGUGCUCCACUGCUGCUCUGCAUAUGAGCCAUGUGGUUUUUUUUUUCUUGACCAGCCACAGAAUUGAAUCCAGCCUCACCUUGUGUAGUACAAGGAGCAUGGAACUAAAAUAACAGAUAGAAGAAAAAAUGUACGGUACAGUACAAUAUUACACAGUAAAUGUGUCUGGGAAAGGAAGAUUUCAGAUUCGACAGUUGACCACAAGCCUGAAAAAAUCUCUCUCUCUCUCUCUCUCUCUCUCUCUGUCUGUCUUUUAUCUUGGAGUCCUUGUGAUUCAGUGCACUCAGGUGAUACUAGAGAAACAUUAGUUAAUAAAGCAGUAGCAUUAGCAGUUUUGGAUAUGGUACUUUUAUAUUUAAAGCUACUUCACUGUCAGUGCAAUAUAUACCACAAAUAAGCCUUGUCAAACACAGGAUUUAAACCGGCAACUCUCUGAUCACAAGGCAGAGUCUGUAACCACUAGGGGCAACAGUUGACUGUUAUGUUGCCUGUAACACAACCUGCACAACGACUGUGGUUUGAAAUUGUGGUCAGUCACAGAAAACAGAAACAGUGUUGGAGGUGAAUGUGUCAAACAUUGACUUUCUCCGUCUAAAUUCACAGCACGGCCUUGAUUUAGUAAUCCUUCAAUUUACAAGUUUUACAUCAGAGUAUAAAAGUAUAGUAAGUAGUAGCGUAAUGUGAAAAAUGUUCAACCCUGAAGAUGUACUGAACAAAAUACACCAACCUUUUGUACUAGAUUAAAGAAAAACUAUUUUCUAAACCAAUAUUUUCAUCUAAAAAUAAUCUUAUGAUGCCAAAUAAAAAUAGUCAUGUGGUUGACGUUUUGGCUUUUCCUACACCAAAUAUCUAGCGUCCCAAAGGUUCUUCUCCAUCCACCAUGUCUUUUAUUAACAUGUGCCAGGCUGCUAGUUGCUGUGGCUAAAUCUGGGGCAUGUUGAGAGUCAUGUCUAGGAGCCACUUGAAAUGACAAGAUGAGAAUGAGGACCAGUGGUUGACAUAUGGUGCUGAUUAACAGUCAGGUUUACAGGGGUUCUUUAUACACAGGAUAUAAUCAGAGCUACUCCCAGCAUCCUGCCCACUGAACCUCAUCUGGAGCCCUGUGAUUCCCUCCAUGAUGCCUCCGUGGCUCAGAAACUGACAACAUUUGAUCUUUUUCGCUCCAAACAUUGAAAUAAUUUAGUUGACCUUGGUGCGAUUUGAGUUCCUACAAUAUGUAUUUUUCUCCUGUAAACCAGUUAUUUAGUUUUGACAAAACUGAAAAUC